CGUAGGUGGCGAAGCAAGUCGGACGUGAAAGCUCGGAGCUCAACUCCGAAAUGGCGUUGGAAACUGCUUUGCUUGAGGGUUGGAGGGGGGACUGGAAUGCUUGGUGUAGCAGUGAAAUGCGUAGAUAUCAAGCGGAACACCAGUGGCGAAGGCGAGUCCCUGGACAACUCCUGACACUGAGGCACGAAAGCUAGGGGGAGCAAACA
rnacentral:rRNA from 1 species